rnacentral:rRNA from 1 species
GACGAACCACACAAACGUUAUUCGGAAUUACUGGGCGUAAAGCGUGCGCAGGCGGCUUUGCAAGACAGAUGUGAAAUCCCCGGGCUUAACCUGGGAACUGCAUUUGUGACUGCAUGGCUGGAGUGCGGCAGAGGGGGAUGGAAUUCCGCGUGUAGCAGUGAAAUGCGUAGAUAUGCGGAGGAACACCGAUGGCGAAGGCAAUCCCCUGGGCCUGCACUGACGCUCAUGCACGAAAGCGUGGGGAGCAAACAGG